CAGUCGCCACGGGAAUACGAAGGGGGCUAGCGUUGCUCGGAAUGACUGGGCGUAAAGGGCGCGUAGGCGGCGAUCAAAGUCAGGCGUGAAAUUCCUGGGCUCAACCUGGGGGCUGCGUUUGAUACUUGAUUGCUAGAGUGGGGAAGAGGGUCGUGGAAUUCCCAGUGUAGAGGUGAAAUUCGUAGAUAUUGGGAAGAACACCGGUAGCGAAGGCGGCGACCUGGUCCUUGACUGACGCUGAGGCGCGAAAGCGUGGGGAGCAAACAGGAUUAGAUACCCCGGUAGUCCCUGUCUCUUAUAC
rnacentral:rRNA from 1 species